rnacentral:lncRNA from 1 species
AUGGUGACCACGUUGGGUCCCGGGAGAGUUCCCAAUUCCGCCCCCGCCCGCGCCCCCUCCCGGCCCGGCCCGGCCCGGCCCGCAGCAUUCCGAAGGCGGCUCUGCCCUCCCCCCCCGGCCCCGCGGCCCCUCCGCACCCGACGUCCGGGGCCGGGAGGUGGCGGGAGCCCGGGAGGGGGCCAGGAAGUUCUGCCCGGAGUUUGGGGGUUGCUGCGGACGCUGCGCCCCUCUCCUCCAGCACGCCCCGCCUUAACCCCUUCCCUCCCGCGGAAGGUUCGCGGGCUGGGGGAGUCCCCGGGCGCCGCGGCCCGCCGCCCCCGGCCCUGCCGCCCCCGCUCACCUCGGCCGGGCACCCGCGGGCUCCGGACGUCCGACCCGCCGCGGCUGGGCGGAGCGGGCACGGGGCUGGCUGCGGCCGCCGCCGGGAGGGCCGAGGGAGGGCCGCCGAGUCUCCUCCUCCCUCCCGGGGGGGAGGGGAGGGAGGGGAGGGGAGGGAGGGGGAGACGGCGGGGCGGGGACCGGGGCGGGGGGCCCGGGCGAGCGGCGGCGCCGUGUGACCUGGGCCCGCCGAGUUGCCGCGGUGGGGGCAGCGGCCGGGCUCGGGCCGGGGCGGGGCGGGGCGGGGCGGGGCGGGGCGGCGGGCCCCGCUGGAGAGCGAGCGGGACCCGACGGAGGCCCGGCCCCGCCUGGAGGCCGGGUCUGGGGGCCUCGAGGGGUCCGGCCUCCCGCCUCGGGUUUCCGAGCGCCGGCGCCGCCCCAGGCGCCCUGCUGCAGGGGUGGGCGCCGCCGUCCUGCGGGGCGCGGGGUGCGGGGCGCGGGGCGCGCCGGCCGAGCGUUCACUGUUACCUGCAUUCCUCCGGGGAGCCGCGGAGCAGCAAGUCUCUGCCCUUCACCGGGCCUCAGUUUCCCCUUCGUGCCGCAAAACGGCUCAUCGAAGUAACCUCCCGCGUGUGGGGAAGGCUGGUGGGCCCUUGGCCCGCGGGGCGGAGGUUUUCCCCGAGGUGCCGCUGA